UGGCCCCAGUCCUGUUGGGCUACAUGAAGCAGAGACACGCCUCGGGCUCACCUUGUGGGUCCGACACAAGCAGCCUCAGUGCUUGGCUGGAGGAGAGCUUUGGCAAAUUCUCCAUCUAUGUGGAUUACAACGACCUGCGUGAGAUCAAUGCAGGCUUUGGCAGCUUUGAGGCGCUGGACAUUCUGAGC